rnacentral:misc_RNA from 1 species
GUAUUGAUUGCGUGUGACCGCAAAAACAAAACAUUCUAGACUGUAUCGAAUUUUGUGUGAAAACGUGAGCCCUCCUGCAAAGGGGGGACCCGCGCGGUGAUGCACAAAGGGGUAAGAUGGAUAUUUGUAUGUGAGAGGACUCGGGCGUGCACGACAAAAAAAAAGCCAGCGACAACCCUCGUACCCCCAUUGUACGAUAAUGAUCCUUCCGCAGGUUCACCUACGGAAA